UUGGAGGGGGAGAUUUUCUCCACUUUGUGACGACGUUUUGGCCGGCCGGAUGGAAACACAUCGCGGGCCGUAUUUUUGUUAUCACUGGUUUACAUGGUAUGCAACUUUGCGAAACCUUUUUUGGCUGUUGAUUUCAGAAACUAUAAUAAUUCACAUACAUCAGCCCACUAUAUUAAGGAAACGGAAUGUCUCAUGUAUAUCUCACUGUUAUAUCCCACUUUGUUGAAUAAAAGUACAUUGUAUUUGUAGCCCAUCAAAUUUUAGAGUAAAGCAUUUUUUAACGUUUUCAAAUUUGUUAAAAUAAAAAACUUUGGUGAGAGAAAAAUUGAUUAGCGAUGAAAAACAUCCAACAUCAUUGGAAGGCAAAAAGAAGAAUAAUUAAAUAAAAUUGGGAUCAAUGCAUCAUUGUACACAUUUUACAAUCUGAAAAAGAAGUGUGACAAGUUAUAUUGUAAUGAAUAACUUAACUUCAUAACUGCUAUAAGUUGAAGAAGAAUAAAACCCUGCUCAAACCUUUUGUUGGAUGGAGGUAGGGCAAGCAAUAUUUGAACUCAAGCCUACCAAAACCACAGCUCUGACCACAUGAUCAGGCAGCCAUCCAAUCCAGGGUUGCUGUGACUGUUCAAGUAAUCAAAUCCUUCUACUGUUCCCAGACAGUAGCUGUUCUUAGCAGGAUAUAAAGAGUCCAGUUCAUUUUUUUAUGUUUUCCAGCCAGCUUUACUUUGUUCCCUCCACUGUAGCUUGAAGGAUGACUUUUGACAGUGAGUUAUGACUUACAAUAAGACCUAACCAGCUCAGCGAAGCCCACAAGGAGACAAACUCCAUAAUCCAAAACCAUCACAUUCCAUGGAGGAUUUCCCAGUUUACUCAUUACAGCAAAUGCCAAGCUUAAACAGUAUUUUUAUAUAUAUAUGCUCCAUCUCUUCUUUUGCUUGACCAUAGGUAGGCCUAUUUAAUUGAGUCAAGCUAGUAUUUUGCUUUUUUUCUGCACUAAUUUCCAUGCCAACUGUUCUAGCUGCAGCAUACAGUUUUAAAGUAAGAUCUUGUUCCUGGUUAACAAUUUUCACUGAUGAGCUCUAUAUUAUCUGCAAACCUGAGAUUGAAAAUAGCCUGCUCAUUUAUGGUCAAGCUAGGAGUAAAUCUUGCUAGAAUUUCCAUUAUAAUAUGCUCCAGGAAUAUGUUAAGAUGUAAAAUGCUCUAAAUGAAUUGAAAAAUAUAUUUAAAAAAAAAUCUUCAUUUAAUAUAUGCUUAAAACUUACUUUUGA